rnacentral:rRNA from 1 species
GAUGAACGCUAGCUACAGGCUUAACACAUGCAAGUCGAGGGGAAACGACAUCGAAAGCUUGCUUUUGGUGGGCGUCGACCGGCGCACGGGUGAGUAACGCGUAUCCAACCUGCCCACCACUUGGGGAUAACCUUGCGAAAGUAAGACUAAUACCCAAUGAUAUCCCACGAAGGCAUCCGAAUGGGAUUAAAGAUUUAUCGGUGAUGGAUGGGGAUGCGUCUGAUUAGCUUGUUGGCGGGGUAACGGCCCACCAAGGCUACGAUCAGUAGGGGUUCUGAGAGGAAGGUCCCCCACAUUGGAACUGAGACACGGUCCAAACUCCUACGGGAGGCAGCAGUGAGGAAUAUUGGUCAAUGGACGGAAGUCUGAACCAGCCAAGUAGCGUGCAGGAAGACGGCCCUAUGGGUUGUAAACUGCUUUUAUGUGGGAAUCAAGUGAGGGACGUGUGGUUUUUUGCAUGUACCCUAUGAAUAAGGACCGGCUAAUUCCGUG